UUAUGUGUGCAACAAAUAUAUUGUAACCUGGUCAGAUCUGGAAAGAAGCAGCCAUAUCAAUCAAUGUUUGUGUGCACUUUUUUUGU
rnacentral:SRP_RNA from 1 species